rnacentral:rRNA from 1 species
UCCGUAGGUGAACCUGCGGAAGGAUCAUUACCGAGUGCGGGCCCUCUGGGUCCAACCUCCCAUCCGUGUCUAUCUGUACCCUGUUGCUUCGGCGUGGCCACGGCCCGCCGAAGACUAACAUUUGAACACUGUCUGAAGUUUGCAGUCUGAGUUUUUAGUUAAACAAUAAUUAAAACUUUCAACAACGGAUCUCUUGGUUCCGGCAUCGAUGAAGAACGCAGCGAAAUGCGAUAAUUAAUGUGAGUUGCAGAAUUCCGUGAAUCAUCGAAUCUUUGAACGCACAUUGCGCCCUCUGGUAUUCCGGGGGGCAUGCCUGUCCGAGCGUCAUUGCGAACCCUCAAGCACGGCUUGUGUGUUGGGCCGCCGUCCCCUCGUUUGGAGGGGACGGGCCUGAAAGGCAGCGGCGGCGUCGCGUCCGGUCCUCGAGCGUAUGGGGCUCUGUCACGCGCUCAAGGAGGGGUCCGGCCGGGGCCAUAGCCUCUGAAGGUCAAUUCUUCCAAGGUUGACCUCGGAUCAGGUAGGAGUACCCGCUGAACUUAAGCAUAUCAAUAAGCGGAGGA